GAUGAAGAACGCAGCGAAAUGCGAUAAGUAAUGCGAAUUGCAGAAUCCGUGAGUCAUCGAAUCUUUGAACGCACAUUGCGCCCGCCAGUAUUCUGGCGGGCAUGCCUGUUCGAGCGUCAUUACAACCCUCAGGCCCCCGGGCCUGGCGUUGGGGAUCGGCGGAGCCCCCCGUGGGCACACGCCGUCCCCCAAAUACAGUGGCGGUCCCGCCGCAGCUUCCAUCGCGUAGUAGCUAACACCUCGCGACUGGAGAGCGGCGCGGCCACGCCGUAAAACACCCAACUCUUCUGAAGUUGACCUCGAAUCAGGUAGGAAUACCCGCUGAACUUAAGCAUAUCAAUAAGCGGAGGA
rnacentral:misc_RNA from 1 species